GUGUAGUUUACUUGCCUAGUCUUCCCGGUCCUGUUGCAAAGACGCUUUCAUCGAAUCCAGUUUACCUCACCAUCUUUUUGUUGCAAAACAACUUGUGUUUAAGUAUAUGAAGACAUAUGAAGGUUAAAACAAUGAAUAUAUAAGUGCAGGAAGUAUUAAGAAGUGAGAAAAUGGAAGAAGGCUGGCACAUUUGCAUUAUCAAGCUCUUGAUUCACUAAAACGGGAGAAAACAAAAUCAAGUAACAUGAUUCCUGUGCCUGAAUAAAAAGCCCAAUUGAAAAAAAUGAAACGUUUUAUUUGACCACAAGGGGGUGCAACUCAGUAUGAUGAAUUUCAAAGGAAAAAAAAAAGAAAAAAAAAAGGCGUUUAGACUAUAAAAUUCACAGGUAUGCUCAUAUUUUAAGAAAGAAUGAAGACUGUUAAAGAAGAAAGCAUUUUGAACGGUAACUUGAAACCUUAUAUACACUAUUGAAUGUUGUAAAAACACUUAUUUAGAUGGGUACCUUUUAUUUUCUUGUUGGUCUUAUUUCUCUGAGGGGGAUUUAAUUAAAAAACAACAACAAACCCUUUUAUUUGGGAAAUAAUUUUAAAUUUAAAAAAAAGUUGGGAGGAAAUUGCUUCCUCUUAUGCACAGUGCUUCUCUUUUCACAAUUAUGUAUGUUCAUAUACAAUUUUAUUUUUCUGAAACAUUUGAGGUUACGUUAUAUACAUCAUGGUCCUUCACUCCUAAAUGCUUGAGAGUGUAUUUCUUAUAAACUUCAUAAAUUUACAUUGAAGUAAUAUUUUAAUCUACCAUGAUAUUCCAAUUUCAUAGGUUGAUUUUUAUAGCAUUUCCCCCUCCAGCACAGAUUCAGUCUAGGGCUAGGUACUGCAUUUAGUUGUCCUGACUCUUUAACAUCCUUUAUUUUGGAACAUUUUCAUAACCUUUAAAAAAAAAUCUUUACCUUGACAUCUUUGAAGAAUGCAGCUUGUCUCCCCAUCCCCAUUUUUAAUAGAACAUUUCUUAUUUUGUUUUUGUCUGAUGUUUCCUCAUGAUCAGAUUGGGGUUAUACAGUUCAACUGGAUUACUAUGCAGAUGUUAUGUGUCCUUCUCCAGGGUAUCACUUCUGGAAGCACAUGAUAUCCAUCUGUCCCUCACUGAUGAUGUUAAUUUUGAUUACAUGAUCCAUAUGUGGCUUGAGUUUUCCACUGUAUAGUUAGGUGUUGUUGUUUUUUUCUUCCUGGCAAUUAAUAAGCAAUUUCCGGGGAGACAUUUGAAGAUAUAUACAGCUCUUCAUCAAAAUUACCAUUUAAGUAUGUGUGUUCUAUCUAUAUUUAUAUGUGUACAUUUUGUAAAUUAUUUCACUGUUCAAAUUGUCCCAGAUUUAGCUAGAGAGAGGACCUUUGGUCUGGCUCCUGUGUCUUUGUGACAUGCCUAUAUCAUUUUUUAAAAA